rnacentral:snoRNA from 1 species
AUGCCAGUAACUGGAUUCCUUUACUCAUGGGUGCCUGGUGUGCAAUGGCUGUUAGCAGCAGGUUCUUCAGUAGUGUGCACAGAUCAUUGCUAGUAAGGGUUGCCCUAAGGUCCUAAGAACCUUUGAGACAGCC